rnacentral:rRNA from 1 species
GACGUAGGAGGCGAGCGUUGUCCGGAGUUACUGGGCGUAAAGCGCGCGCAGGCGGUCACGCAGGUCAUCUGUGAAAUCGCUCGGCUCAACUGGGCGGGGUCCAUGGAAACUGGUCAGCUGGAGGACGGUAGAGGUGAGUGGAAUUCCCGGUGUAGUGGUGAAAUGCGUAGAGAUCGGGAGGAACACCCGUGGCGAAGGCGGCGUUCUGGACUGCAUCUGACACUGAAAGACGAAAGCCAGGGGAGCAAACGGG